AACUGUGGUGGGGAUAGUGUACAGUAGUGGGGAUAAGCGGAGAGCGGGCAGCGUACGAGGACGGAGGCACGCUGUUCUCGGGACGCGCAGAACAUCGGAGUGGCUCGCGAAGGACGGCUGCCUCUUUUCCCCUCUCACUUUUUCUCACUCUAUCUCUCUCUUUUUCUCGCACGCGAUAUCUCUCCCUCCUUCCCUCCCACCCUUCCACCCUCUCUCACUCUCUUUUUCUCUAUCUAUCUUUUUCUCUCUCUCUCUCUUUCUCUCUUUUUCUCUAUCUCUCUCUCUCUCUCUCCUUUGCACUCACUAGCACACUCUUUUUUUUACUAUCCUUCUCUUACUACCCUUUCUUUCGAAUCGUAUUUCUCUCUCUCUCUCUCUUUCUCUCUCUUUCUCUCUCUCUCUCUCUUUCUCUCUCGUUCUCUCAUUCUCUCUCUCUUUCUCGCAUACUCUUUUGCUCCUCGACGGAGCGCGAGUCGGAGGAAGAGAGGCGCACAGGAUGGCGGGGCGAGAGUCGGCUUACUACGCGGCGAAACGCCUCGACGGCGUUCAGUCGUCAGCGAUCAGACCGCCGGGCAGUGCGGACCCACUCUUCCGAACAGUCACUCACUCUCUCUCCUACUCUCCUCUCUUUAUCUCGUAUACAUUAUACCCUGCAACUCCUACGUACCUGUCCAACUCAUAUUCGCGAUGUAUAUAUAUAUACAUGUAUAUAUAUAUAUAUAUACACACAUAUAUACAUACACACGUCAAAGGAUUUCUCAACUAUACUGGAAUAUUUAUUUCUACGAUAUUGGAAUGGUUUUCGAAGAAUCAAUCCACUCUUCCUUCCCUUCAAUCCCAAUUGCGAAUUUCUCGAAUUUGGAAAUCGCCGUCCGCGGAUUCGGUCACGAGGAGAAUUCGUUCGAAAUACGUGACUCGAUCUUAACCGAGAAAUAGAGAGAGAGAGAGAGAGAGAGAGAGAGAGAGAGAGAGAAAGAGAAAGAGAGAGAGAGAGAGAGAGAGAGAGAGAGAGAGAGAGACAGAGAGAAACAGAGAGAAGAAUCGAACACGUUUUGGAAGAUCGUCGAAGAUCGUAAACUAAUACGAAUUCGAACGAAGGAUGGACGGAUUCACUCGGCUAUUUAUCUGAGGAAAGAUAAAGUGAACGUCCUCGAACGAAGACACAUCAUCGAGACGAGGACGACGGAAUUAUCUUACAACGUCGGAAGAUCUUGUAAAUAACGGAAGAGGAUAGAGUGUACGAUUCUAUACGACGAAAGUUUUUAUUUUGUAGUUCUCUUUUUUUUUCUUUUUCUUUUUUUCUUCUUCUUCUUUAUCAUCAUUUUUGACAAUUUUAUUUCUCUCUUACUUGGUUCUUCGUGAUGUAUAAACGGAGUCGAGGAGAAUUUAAUCCGCGAACAACGGAACAACGGGUGUUACACAGGUCCAAGUGGAAUUUGUAACGAGCCAAGAAGUUUGUGCGACUUUACGUACCGGAGCACGUGGUAUUCGAAUUCCCGGAAUCAACAACACAUUCUCGUCAAUGAAAGAGGACGAUAGACUUCGACAUCAAUGAAGACGAAACGAGAGUAAAAACAAGAAACAAAGAAAAAAGAAAAGAAAAGAAAAAAGAAAAAACAAUCGCACGAGAGAAGAAAAGGCGGUGAGUCGAGUCAGUUUACACGACUCGUUUUUAUGUGCGGAUAACGAAGGAAACAGUGUUACGAAGAUAGAAAUAAAUAAAGUAUUUAAUGUGCGGUAGUAAUAUCGUAACAGUGUGGGAGAAAGCUGCACGACGAUAUUUUCUCGAAGGGAGAUUCAUAAUCGGGCGUAUUUUUUUGUCGAGCGAGGAAAACGUACGCGCGGACGCGUUAUCCGCCGACGGAUGGACGAUUCGACGAUCGAGAAUGCGACUUGCGAGACGCAGCCACGCUCGCGGAGAGGAAUACGCGCGUCUCUUCGCGUGCGGACGGUAAGAAUAGUUUGAUCGUUAAAUUUCAAAGGGGGAUGCCGAGUACUUUACGAUUUAUGACGCAUUCGCCGCUUUUAUAGUAAGAAUACGAUCCAAUGUGAAUUUGAUCGAAAGAUGAGAAUCGAAAGUGUAAUCGGCAAAAGUCGAAUAAUCGACGAAGAGGAUACGAAAGAGUGAGUGAGUGAAUGAGUGAGUGAGUGAGUGAGUGAGAGAGAGAGAGAGCGAGAGAGAGAGAGAGAGAGAGAGAGAUAGAAAGAGUAUAGGAGCCAAACGAUACGGCCCUGGUCUCUCGGUGGUUGAUAGGGUAUAAUCAUGCCGAGUUUCAUAUCUCGAAGGGGCCACGGGAAGAUGGUCCAACAUCUGCCGCUGCAGGGAAUCUCUGCCCACAUGCUGGCCAGCAUACGGACGCACACGUACGCGCUCGCGUACAAGCGCAAAAAGUGACGUAGGUACACGGUGGGACGUCAUGUAAAUUCAUUCGAAACACAUGGCAGGACCCGAGAGCGCGCGGCGUUUCUCUUCUCUGCAAAAGGCUUUCGAGAAAAGGAAUCUCGAAGACGGCAGAAAAAGAGACCAUAACUUUGACUUCGACUUUGGUACUCCGGCUAUUUCAGGCCGUGUCACGGAUCAGAUAAAUCCCUAUCCUAGUAGAGUUCCUUCCUCCCUUUUGUCUUUCCUUUCGAGCGGUCUUUCUUUGAAACGAUCGAUAGUCCGAAAUAUCGAAAUGAUUUAAAAUUAAUGAUAAAAUGGCGUCUAUCUAGAAAACGGUCUUUUCUAUUUUUUCUUGAUUUUUUUUUCUUUCGCUCCUUUACAAGAAUGUAUCAAUUUUUAUAUUCGAUAUAAAAAUUAAUAGCGAGAGCCUGAUAGCAACGCACGAUAUUUCGCCAUUGAAACGUUAAUGACGCCGGAGGGACGUUGAAAAAUGAGGCUCGGGGAGUAGGGAAGAAGGAGAAGUAAGUGGUGGAGGCCGAGGGGGUGGACGGGCUCGACCGAGAAAAGAGAUACGCUCGCAGCGCGCGCGGAAUUGCAGAACUGCCUUUAAUUAAAGUCAUCAAGCUAGUUGAACAAUUAUCAUUAAUUAUGGACGUCGCUUGGCCGCUCACACGAGCCAUCGCUGCCGCUAGAGUUGUAUGUACGUAUGUCGGGAACGUUUGACUUUCCUUGCGUGCUGCGGCUUCGUUUCUACGUUAAAGAAAGAAAGACAGAAAAAGAAAAAGAAGAAAGAGAGAAAGAGAGAGAGAGAGAGAGAGAGAAACAGAGAAAGAAAGAGAUAAACUGAAACAGAAGGAAAAGAACCGCAAUGGAAAAUCGUAAAAUAUAGAAACUUGAAAGGUUUGAAAAUAACUUGCUUCGUCGAUUCGUCGUUCUCUUUUUAAUUUGAUAAUGAAUUUUCAAAAUUAUUUUGGACUCGACUUUUGUUCUUUUUCUGUUUAUCUUAUUAUAUCUUCCUUGCUUUUUUUUUCAUUUCCAUAAAAUUCAUUCGAAAUCGUUUCCGAAAUAAAAUAGUCAGGAGCGUCGACUCUUUGGUAUUCGUUAAAAAGUAAACGAAGCAUCAUCGUCCCCGUUUUAUUUUUUUUUCUUUUUCUUCUCCCUCUUCUUUUUCUUCUUUUUUUACUUCUUCACUGAUGACCGAAGAAGAGGGAGACGAAGAAGAUGAUAGCUAGUUCAGUUUGGUCCGCGAUAAAAAACAAGCGGCAAAAAGAAAGAAAAACGUGUUGCUUCUCUCGGAACGGCGUCGAUUUCGAAAUCCAGACGUACUGAAAAGACAGAGAGAAAAAAAAGAGAAAAAGAGAGAGAGAGAGAGAGAGAAAGAGAGAAAGAGAGAGAGAGAGAGAGGAUCGUGUGCCACAAUAAAGAUAACGAUUUACGUUCGACUUUAUCGCCGGGUAGCCGGGGCCAAUGACUCGAUGAACGGGGAGAGCUCGUGUCUCGAUUCCAUGAUUUAAGUUCCGUUGUUGCCGCCGAUUCGAGCCAAUCGCUUCGUUUUUACUGAUUUGGAUAAAAGAGAGAAGAAGGGAAAGAGAAGAUCUCAACGAAACGAUAAGAAAUUUCUAAUAAAUUCGAAUCAUUGAUAACACUGUUUUCGAAUUAUAACGUUUUCAUAUUGCGUAUUGUUUCUAUUUUCUUCGAAGAAGGACGAAGAGGUCGCGAUGAUUAAAAUAUUUCUUCUUUCUUUCUUCUCAUGCUCGUUUUCUUUGAAAUGUCCGAUAACUAUAGUUAGGUGCAUACAUACGUACUUGUUCAGAACAAAGUCAGAACAAUGUUUCAUUUUAUGGUAACUGCACGACCUACCCUAAAAGCGAUGUACUAUGUUAUGUCUCCCCCUUUCGGUCCCUUCAAUUUUACUUGUUUCUUUCCCCUUUCUUUCUCUUCUUUCUUUUCUUUCUUUCUUUUCCUUUUUUCUUUUCUUUUUUUUUUUUUAACGAGACAAUGACGUUAAUAACGGUAAUGAUCCUGUUAAGAGUUCUUAGGGCUUAUUCCUAUAAAAAAACGACAAAAAAGAAAAGAAAAAAAAAAUAAGAAAGAAAAGAAAAGAGAAUUUAAGACCGGGACGAGUUUACGACUGCGAAUACCGGUAGAACAGGCCGUAUUUCUUCGCGAAAUUUAACGAACCUUCGCGCAAUGGGACACCAUUAAAAAAUUCCGGAGCGUCAUGUAGCACGGAGCACGCAAUGGCGAUAAAUGCCGAGGGAGGAAGAGAGAAAAAGAGAGAUAGAGAGAGAGGAGUUGAAUGAGAGAGGGCAGCGGAUUAUGGAAGGCAAAGGAUAAGACUGACGAGAGGUUUAACAUCACGCAAACCUAAGUAAAAACAUUAUCGAUCGGCAAACGCGAUGCGCUCGCACUGCGUUAAGUUUGUAUCGUAAAUGGCGAUCGUAAAAGAUCGAACACCAUGGAAUAAGAUUAUUUCUUAUUUCCGUACGACUGGAAUACCUAUACCAGAAGUAUAUUUCGAUUCCUGAUAAUUUCUUAUAUUGCGUGAUUAUUAUCAAAAUUUACGGCUGUAUAAAUUGUAUCGCUCGAAAAAAAUGUUGGAGUUUUUCCAUUGGUUCCUUUGCUUCCGAGUAACCUUGCCGAAGGAGCGAUAAAUUUUAAUCGUACUGACCUCUGCAGCUUUUUCUUGGAAGGAUAUAAUUUCGAGGAACGUAAUGGUCAAUGGAAAACAAUAUUUUGCAAUGCCGCGCAUGGACGGUAUUCAGGGGAACAGAAACAUAGAUUACAAACGAUUAAAAAACGUCAUUGAUUAUAGUCAUAGUAAAAAAAGAAGAAGAAACUUAAAUAAUCGUUCAAAGAAUCGAUCGUUUUCGAAUGAAAUUUCUGUGAAAAAACUCUCCAAUUUGUAUAAACGUCGAUUCUUUUCGUAAAUCUUUCUUGUCCAUUCUCACUGAUAUAGGAGAACAAAAAGAGAGAGAGAAGGGGGGCGGGAGAAAGGACAAAAAAGUAAAGAGAAAUAAGAAAGAUCGCAGUAAUACUUGAGUGCAAUUUACGUAAGAUGUAAAGUAAGAGACGGAAUAACGUUUCAGGGAUAUCGCGAAUGAGACGAAUAGCAGGAGAAGCCGCUGACUCGUGGUUCGUCAAUUAGCGUGUCACGCUCGUUAUCGUGGAAAAUAAUUAGGCUGAACGCACCGGAGAACGGUUCGUUAGCUCGUCUUCUUUCGAGUACACAUAAGCGUUCGCGAUCUCUCUAGAAGCGAAUGGCGAAGUGAAUAUCGUAAAAGAGAGGAAGAAAGGGGACGGAGGAUGGGCGUAUAAGCGACAAGACGUCUCGACGAUAAAUACAUACGUUUAGGUGAAUACUUCUACACACACGCGCGCACACAUAUGAGCACACACAUAGACACACAUAUAUAUAAUAUAUAAGCAAGCAACGUUUCUUGUGGAAGUGCCAAACGAGGUAUGCACGCGAAUCCGGUCAUUAAAUAAAGGUAAUCAAGUAAAUUUCUUUUACGAGAGUGUUGACGAUUAUUACUUCUCGCUCGCUAUCUGAAUCAUGAUGUCAAAAGGAAACUUUAAAUGAUAGAAAAUGUAUAUCUUAGAAUAUACGUAGAUAAGAGAUGAGUAGAAGAAGAGAUUAUUUAGAUGACGUUUUCAUUUUACAACUUUACCGUCUCGUUACUUACAUAGUAAUCGAUUGAAAAUAAAGCGACUAAGUUUAAUAUCGGAUAACCCGUAAUGAAUGAUAACUUACGACGUGGUUUAUAUCUUCUUUUCUUAUGAGAAAUAGAAGAAAGAGGAGGAGGAGGAGGAGGAUCAGGAGGAGGAGGAGGAGAAGGAGGAGGAGGAGGAGGAGUUAACGAACGCGACGAAAAGAGGGAAAACGGUAGGAGUCGUUCGCGCGCUCGAGCGACUCGCCUAAACACGCUAUAUAAGCCGGCACGCAUACGUUUCCAUAGAACAAAUAACUUGAGAUACGUUGCAGGCAAAAUGCAAUGAGUUAUGGCGCGGCAACAGAGCGGGCAAUAAAUUAUCUUUAACGACGUGGCGCGGUUAACGCAAGAGGAGGAGUAGGAAGAGGAGAAAGAGGAGGGGGAGAAGGAGGAGGAUGGUGAGAUAGGAAGUCCGAGAUGGCUCAUGAUCAUCCGCAUCACGAUGAUGAUUCCGCGAGAAUUAUCUCAUUAUCUUAUAAUACUAAUUUAUUUGUGUACGGUGGUGUCACUAAAUUAUCGAUAUCGACGAUAUCACGAGUUGCCUAUUACGUGUUAGAACUUUUCUAAUCGCUAAGUUCGAUCGGUAUUUCUCUUCCUCUCUCUCUUUCUUUCUCUUUCCCUGCCUGUUACACUCAGUUAGGCAUGUAGAUAGUUUGAAUUUCGCCGAGUAGACGCGCGCUCGUUAGCUUGAAUGGCACGAUGCAUCGCGAGAACUAUGCUGCUUUAGAACGUGAGCGAGACUUAGGAAUGAGAAGAGAGAGAGAGAGAGAGAGAAAGUUCGUUUAUCGUUAGUUCCAAGAUAAAAGAUAAUAGACAAUGAGAUUUUUGAAUAGGGAAUGCUAUUUGUUGGAAAUUAACGAAUCGUUAACUCGUUUUUACAUAGAAGAGGAUGAAAGAUAGAGAGGGAAAAUUGUCAGAGCUUGUAAAAGCACUGCAGUAACGUGGGGAACGAAAUUCGGGCCCCGAUCGAAUGGCCCUGGGAUGAAUUUGCAUGCGGCCUUUUUAGCUCCAGGUGUCCCAGAAUUUGCAUACGAAAGGGUGGCUUUCGCGGAUUCCUCCCCUUUUCCCUCGUAACUCUUUCACUCUCCAUCUCUAUUUCUCUUUCUUUCUAUCUGCCUACCUCUUUUUACCCCUCCACCCUCCUCACCCCCUUCUGUAUGCGCGCGCAUCCGUGUAUUCUCGUUUAUGGGUUACCGGCUCAGCGUGUCGCGUCGUUAACUCGAUGUUAAACUUUCGUUAACGUUGAUCUUUAACAAUCACCUUUCUCGCGUCGGUGCGCCUUUGCCGAUCGAAUUCGCAAUCGACGAGAUAAUCUUGAAUGCCGAUUCGAAUUGAUUAUCAAUAACGUAUGUAGAAAAAGACAUGGUGAUCGAUAGUACCAACACUGCUUGCCGUGAAAUGUCGUUAACUUUUGAAGGAGGACGAAGAGAGAGAGAGAGAGAGAGAGAGAGAGAGAGAGAGAGAGAGAGAGAGAGAGAGAGAGAGAGGGGUGGUUGCAGAGAAGGAGAUACAGAAAAAGAAAGGAAAGAAAAAGAAAGACAUUUAUCGGUCUGCCUUAGCAGCACAACAGCAACAACAACGGCCUUUUACUUCGAGCGUCGAAAUGUCGAAACACCAUUUUCCCAUUGAUUUAUUCGUUGUAAAAAGUAAGAGAGAGAGAGAGAGAGCGAGAGAGAGAGAGAGAGAGAGAGAGAGAGAGAGAGAGAGAGAGUGAGAGAGAGAUAGAACAAGAGAGCAAGAGAGAGAAACAUAUUUAUCGCGCGAGAACGAGUUUAUCUUUUCUCUAUCGUUCGAUACGAAAUCCAACAACGUUCCGCCGCUAAUCAUUAAUAUCAAGUAGAUAUAUACCUAUCUACCUAUCUACUUACUACGGAUUGCGCAAACAUCGUUGAAACAACAAACAACGUUAUUUCCAGUUAACGCGCGCGAACGUAAGCGCACGCGCGAGCCAUCGAUUGUGGGCACAGGUGAAAAUGAGCGAUCGUAGUAGGAGAGAACAAAGUGUCGAAACCGAAAGCGGAUAAUGAUAGCCGCCGACGGCCGCCGUUUAUUUUUGGAACCCAUUUUUAUCGAGAACGCUUUAUCGUCUCGAAACUCGCGAGUUUGCUUUAUUCUUUCCUUUAUUUUUCUUUUCGUUUUUUUUUCUUUUUUCUUUCUUUUUUUUUCUUUCUUUUUCUCUUUAUUUUUAUUUUAUUUUGCACGCACGAAAGAAGCGAUAAGCCGACGCAAGUAUCGUUCGUUGGCUUUUAGAUUAUUAUUAAACGAGCGUCCAUCCUCUUGGACACUUUUUCCGCCUUCGUUCACCCCUGACCGCAUCACCCUUUCUUUCUCUCUCUCUCUUUUUCUCUCUCUCUUUCUCUCUCUUUCUCUUCCUCCCCCUACCUAAUUAUUUAAUCUGGCCCGUAACCUCCUCGAUGUCAUUGCGCUUGACGCGUUUGCGCGCGCGGGCGCGCCUCGCGUGAUGAAAGAGAGGGCCGCGGCCAUCUUGUCUGACGUCAUCUCACGCCGAGCACGCAACCGCGAAACGCCGACUUCCUCGUUGCGAUAACACCUUAUUUUUUAUCGCUCCCUCUUCCCUUCCCUUUCUGCUCUCUCUCUCUCUCUCUUUCUCUCUUUCUCUGCUCUAUCCGUCUAACUAUCUACCUAUCUUUCUAUCUUUCUUUCGUUUCUCUCUCUCUCUCUCUCUCAUUCUCUUUCUCACGUAACUACUCUUAGCGAGUACGUAUCUCCGCGUACAUCUCCCUUUAUCUUCUUCUUUUUCCGAUUCUCUUUUCCUCCCCUUUUUCUUACCACGGUACGAUCGCACACACGCAUAUAACACAUACGUUGGACGAGCACGUACGCCUUCACUUUCGGUUGCGACGAACCGAGACACCCCUCCCGUUGUAUAGAAAAUGGCGGAAUUUAAUGGACAAGCGCUCGGCCGCUAUUCGUUGCUCCCUAUGAAAUUUAAGGUAGGCGGUGAUUCGAUUUUAUCGACAUCGUUUCACCACCUACUUCGUUCCUUUCCUUCGAAUAUUUCACUAUCUCCCUCCUUUCCUUCCUCUCUUCCUUUUGCCUUCUCCUAUGGCGUUCUUCCCUCGUUUACACGUUAUGAAAAUACUGAGCGUUAGAUAGAAGUAGAGAGAUACGAAAAUACAGAACGAUCCAUGCCGAUCGAUACGACGAAGCGCGAUCGUAAAAGGAAAUCUCUCAUUUUGUAUCUCUGCGUGCUACAGGAUAAAGGUGAAUAGGGGAAUAUCGUAAAAGAAACGUACGGCGAUUAGACAUUUCUUGGCGGUAAAGAGAUAAAAGAAAUAACGACACGACAACGAAUCGGAGUCGGUUUAUUUAAGAAAAAUCGGUGAAACUCGUUAAGGAUUUCUUCCUUCUAAAGGAGGAAUUUCUUCUUAGCUUAGAUCAUCGGUUCGAGGUUCUCAUCUUCCUUCUCUGUUUCUCUUUGAAAGUUAAGAGAAGUAGAGAAAAGGAAAAACAAAAAAUUGAGGAGGGAGACUCGCGGUUAACUGCGGUCGUUGGCGGUGUCACGCGAUACGAGCGGAGACGUCGGCAAUUUAAAUUCGCGGAAGGCCGUAAUCACCGGUGCGUUUUGCGUUUUGCGUUAUUGACGAACAUAAAGGGGUCCCAAAGUGUACGAGCGAGAAAGAGAGAGAGAGAGAGAGAGACAAAGAGAGAGAGAAAAAGAGAGAGGUCUCGGGGUAAGCGCUUUUCGCAGAUAUGUGUUUACAACUGAUAUUAAAUCAGGCUUCCUUUACAGUCCCAAUAAAAUGCGACGAGUUCUAUGAGGCCCUGAUAUCGUUGCGCGUUCAACCUGGAACCCGUUCGAGACAACUUUAAGAAUAUUGAAGGAUAAGAGGAGAGCCGCGUACACUUCAGCGAGUGACCGAUCGAGCAAAGAAGAUUGUCGGAACAUCGCUCAUUAUAAUACCGGUUUUUCCACAAAAACACAAGAUUUUAUAGCUCCUGGCGCCUUGUGCGCGCGACUCGUCAUCGAUACGCUUAAACUCGACUCGUGAAGAACUCGCUCCGUCGCUCGCGCUUGAUAAAAAGAAACGCGGAACGAGAUCGAUAGCUACGAUCAUCGUUCAACGCGAUACACCAAACGUUUCUCGUCUCUUUCCAUCUGGAUUUGACGGAAAGUUCAUUUGGAAAUAAACAAGCAAUAUCUUUUUAUCCAUUGACGAUUUUCCUCUUUUUACUGUAUCUUUUAUCAAGGUAGAAUGAUAUAUAAAAUUCGACGAGUUUGAGAGAUACGAUCGACGGGGUUCGUUCGUCGUAGAGACGUCUUAAACGUGCGACGUUAUACGAAGCUUGCUUGUUCGAGCUUUCCAAGAGGCGUUCGCGGCACAAAUUAACAAUUUGUAUGUCGUGCAAGUGGAGUUAUGAUUAUCGCCGUGUCGUACCCUGCGAGCGAGAUUACCCGUGGUGACUGUUACUUGUCUACUUUACUGCCUACCGUGCCAGCAUUCUCCCUUUCUCUCUCUCUCUCUCUCUCUCUCUCUCUCUCUUUCGGUCUAGCUCUCGCUCUCUCUCGCUCUCACACGCAUACGCUCUUGCUAUAAUAUGCUAAUAGGGGGAUGCUAACUUCCCCGUGUAACGACGGAUCGUCGGAUCGUGUUUACGAGGUGAGCCGACCCCAGGGCUUCCCUUCGUACCCUCGGCCAUCGCGAGAACGAGCGUGUUAAAAGAGAUAGAAAUAGAAAGAGAGAGAGAGAGAAAGUGAGAUGAUGUCUCGUUGCAUCCUCGUAAUUAACGAUCGCUUCGAAAGAGAAAAUCGGGCGCGAACGAAACAAUGAACGAUUUCGCGUUCCAUCGAGGCGUGUCUCGAAACGCGUAUGGGAGGCGUCGGGACGCCGGUAAUUAAAUCGAAUCGUCGGUUAACAACUUUUUUUCCAGCGGUAGAGCUAGUCGAGCGAUACGCGCCGGGUAUGGUGUUGACGAUUGCACGCGUAGAGAAGCAUUUUCGUCCGAGCUCUUUCCUGCGUAUCGUGCGCGCGAGUAAACGAGAUACCGACGUAUAGGAAGACAAAAGAGAUAAAACAAUAUUUAUUGUAGUAAGCUCUGAAGAAAGAAAAUAUUUCAGAAAUACAGAUGCAAAUUUGUAAAAUUAGUUAUACUAAAUCUAAACGAUAAUUAAGCAUAGUGAGGAUUGUUUGACGAUUAGGAAUUUAUGGGAAGGUGAUUUUUAAAAAUAGAAAUCUAGGCCGUCUGGGUGGAGAAAGAGAGAGAGAGGUAGCAGGAAUAAAAAAAAAUCAAAAGAGUCGCUUGUUUGCACGCAUCGAGACUAAACGGCACGAAUCGAACGAUCGAGCGAAUUGUCGGGUUGAAGUUGGACCGUACGAGAGGGUGUAUGUGUGCGCGAGCAAGCGAGCGAGCGAGCGGACGAAAGAGGAUGGGAGAGGCUGGCUACGGGCGUGGUGCGUUCACGAUAAAAAUGGCGCUUCGUUUGCCGCGAGGGUGGCCCCUUUUACUUCCCAACACUAAAUGCCGUGUGUGCGAUGUACUACCAACAGACCGCCCCGCUUUGCUUGCUUGAAAAGAGUGCCCUUCCCUAUCCCCACCCCUACAUGCACCUACGUGAACCCUCGAUUAAGUCUCCAAUAACUUAUUACCAACGGACACAGCACAGAUAGACAGACGUUUCUGAAUUUUAAAUAAAUCGAAUCAUUUUCAAAGUUUUCUUCUUUUUUUGUUCCAUUUUUAAAGGGAGAAAGGAUUCGUGGUCAUAAAUAAUGUAAUAUCUAGUUACGAGGUACCGGUUUUAUGAAAAAAUAUUAAACCAAAAGAUGUUCCCGAACGAGAGAAAUUUUCUCGUUCAAUCGUCGUGCCGUCGACGCAUCGACACGAGCACGAGGGUGGUGGGACGUGUGCUAAAGUUCGAUCGAUAAUUAAAUAAACGAGGAAGGUCAUCCCGAAGCCCGGCAGCUCGUCGACGAGCUACGAGCCCGAUGGCCCGGACUUUAUGGGGUUUCGACGUUUUCUCUCGUACUCGUCUACCAAAACUUUUCCCUCUCUAUGCUUUUAUUUCCCCUUCCUUUUCUUUUUCUUCUUCUUUCUUUCUUCUUCCCCUUUUACUUUUCACGUUCGUCGUCGCGGCAGCGCGUCUGGCUUUGCGCCGACGAAAUCUGAUUAAAAAUUCGCUUGGUUGCAUCUCCUUCAGCCCUUUAACUUCGACAAGAUUAGGUUUUCGUAGAAAGAUUCAUCGAAGAACCCUUCUAAUUUUUUCGUAUCACGUGGCGUAACGAGUUUGUAACAAGAAACACGGCGGACAACGAUAUACAACAAACGAUACCUUUGAAAAAUGUCGGAAAUCGAGAGAGGGAGACUAGAAUUACGGAAAAAAGAGAGAAUCAAAUAGCGGACAAAAAACCGCAUGCGUUCGCGAGCGGACGAGAUUCCGCGACAUUUUAAUCGACGUGGCAUCGUAUUUACUCUCCAACGUGGAACAUACCUGCUCGUACAUCUGUGUAUUUUGAAUGGAGGAGGAGGAAAAAAAAAAGAAGUGAAAAAUCGGAAAAAAACAGAGAGAAAGGGAGAUAGAAUAAGCGUGAAAGUGAGAUAGAUAGAGAAAAAAAUGGGACAACACAGAACAGUGGUGAGGUUUUGGUAGGUGGAUGAAAGAGCGUGCAACCCCAGUACAAUUCCAUUUCCGGAUGGAGUAAAGCCGAGUCGGACGAUCGUUCGAAAAGGCGGUCGAGCGAUAAACCGAUUCGGACGGACGCGUUUCGACGAAAGGCCGCGCGCGCGAGUUAACGCGGAUUCGAAAUCGGAGGCCCACGAAACGGGCGAUCAUUUUACGCGUCCGUUCGUUUCGUGUUAAAUUCGAUGUUACUCCUAUCGCGAUCGAGUGUCUAUCUCCUAGGGAACGUUUCGAAAUGAUUGGCGAACGCUACGAAACAUUUUUCUCGUUUAUCGAAAAACAAUAUGAGGCACAUCCGUUUGUAAAAUCGAGUAAACAAUAUAUACAUAUAUAUAUGUGUGUGUAUAUAUAUAUAUGAAAAAAAAGAAAGAAAAAAUAAAAAGUCCACGCGUUUGACCACCGCCUCCUUUCUUACUUUCCUCCGAAUCGCCAAGGCCAUCGAUUAUCAUUGUUAUACAAUAUUCAUGCCGUCGCGUCAAGUGUCUCGCAAUAACUUAGUUGUCUCACAAUGAUUGUGACUCAAAUAUUUGUCCGCAGAAUAUUAAUGCGAGAAAGGAACGCGCGAUGCAAUAUGUACAAGAGGAUUGUGCAUCGCGUAAAACCUCGAUGGAACGAGUGCUCUGAGAAUAGGAGAUGUACAUACAUACAUAGGUACACAUAGAUACGAGAUCAAGAUAAACAUCUACCGACGAACUUCUUUGUUCUCGUCGAUACACGUAAAGCUUUAUUCGAGUUCUCAGAUAGAGAUAAUCUAGAAUAGAAUUCGCUGGACCGUCGAACGAAGUGACGUUUAUCGAUACACUUAUUCCCUUCGAAUUUACCGACAGAGUCAUUAGAUGGAACGUUAGAUCGCCUUAGUCCAUCGCCAACUCUCCCUCGUAAUUCCGUAUCUAUAAAAGUUUACGCUUACCUCGGAGGGCCCAAGUUAUAACUACUUUACGUUCCGUUUGGUUCAGAACAUUCCGAUGCUCAGGGCAAGCUUCACCCCGAAGUCGUAACUUUCUCUUUCGCGGAUUUAGAUUUCGUUCGAUGAUUCACGCUCGCUCUCGAUAAACGUGCCGCGAGAAACGAGACACGUUUUCCAUGGGAAUAAAAAAAAAUUUUUUCCCCGUCUAUCAACCCUCCUCCACCCGUACCCACCUGCCUCCCACCUUCCUCAUUCCCCCUCCUACCUCCUACCACAUGAAAGGCCGAAAGAGAGUUUUCUCCAUUUUGGGAAAAGCUUUGGAUCGACCCAAUCGAAUCCAAUCGUUAGGCUUCGAACGUCAGAGGGUGCAGGGUGGAGGGGCAGCACGUGGCUUAAUUGAUUCGAUUUCGAGGGGUUUUCAUCCCACUUUCGCAGGGUGCAUCCCUCCCCCACUCCCUUCUCUACCACAUGGGUGUGCACGCGAACACGCUGCUCUCUGCAACGUGGCAUUAACGUAGAGGGGUUCCCCGCCCUCCAUCAGUUUCUCUCUCUCUCUCUCUCUCUCUCUCUCUGUCGCCCUUUUCCGUCCAUGAUUUUUUUCGAAAGGUCGUCAGGGCUUUCGCAAACACGCAUAUAUACACGUAUAGACGAAAAGGGGACACGCGUGUCUGCUGCGUACUCUGCCAGAAUCGUGAUUCCCGAUUGCAUUGACACGAAGAACUUUUGCGCGCACCAUUGCACUCCAUAUUGUACGUGUUUUAUCUCUCUCUCUCUUUUUCUCUCUUUCCUCUUAUCGAGCUUCUUUCGUAACCUGUACGAUUGAAAUCUUGGAUCUGUUACGAGUUUGUUCCAUCCGAUUUAUCCAUCAAGUUUUUCUCUUUCUGAUUGUGUAAGAAAUUGAAUUGAAAACUCAAAUAGAAGGCAGGUAACUUAAGAGGGAGGAAAAAAAGGGAACUUUUGCUAAUAAGAAUAUUUUUCUCUCAUAAUUUGACAUACCGAUAUGUAUUAACGGAGAGAUUGGAUUUUAUAUAUUUUUAUUUCGUAUAAAAAAGAGGGAGAGUAAAAAUCCAAGCAGCAGUAUCACGGUCGAUCGCGUUGGCCAUGGUACUCCAUAGGGUAAUUUUCGAUAUCCACCUUGUUAGCCUGGAAUAAUAUCUCGUUGCAAGGAGCUUUAGUAUUUUCCCCAGGAUUACCGUCGUACUUCCUUGUAGUCCUGACUUCCGUUGGUGUUGACGGUUAUGAUGGUGGUAGUGGAUUCAAUACCUCCGGUACUGUGAACGAAAUCUUAUCCAUAUUUCGUGCCAAGAGGCAAAAGAGGGACGAAAGAAGAGACAGGGAGUGAAGAUCGAGCAUAUUCGUGAAGGCAAAGAGAGAAGGGCCGAUGCCGGUCCUUCUCUCUUUCUUUCUUCUUUUCUUUUUUAUCCUUCCCUUCGACGAGGAAACAAGCACCUAUAACAUCCACGUAGGCGUUUUACGCGCGUAUCCUUGCGUCGAAUUCUUCGAGAAGAAGAGUGCCAAGCGAGUAUUAAAGUUUCGCUUUACGUGUCGUAACGGCAUGGAGGAACCCCUUCUAUCUCUCUCACUCCCUCUCAUUCAGCAUCUUUCCACUAGUUCGUUUUUUUCCCUUUGGCAGCCGAGUAAUGGCCACGGCUUCCAGCGAGUUUCAUAAUUUCGUAGGAGAUGUGCCAACGCUUGAACACCCUCUCCUCUCUCUCUCUCUCUCUCUCUCGCUCCCUUUAUCCAUCCCUAUCUCGUCUUCUCGACAAGUUUGAUUGCCGCGGCACCCCGAACUGUCGUCGCGAAUGUCAGUGCUCGCUUCUCGUCUCUACGGAGACGAAUGAUUCUGCGUGAAAAUCGAUUUGUUUUCCGGUCGUCUUCACCGCGAGAAGGUAGGACGUCUGAAUGGAAGAGAAACCGGUCGCGAGUUCUUCCUCGCUAUUCCUGUCACGAAUCGAACGUCCAGCGCGAUGGUAAGCGAUAGGAAGUCGAAAUACCAUAGAACUCCAUUUAUCUGAACUCUAUUUAUUCUAAGUGCUGAUAGUAGAUAGGUAGGUACCUCGUCGCUUGCUUAAAAGGCUCGGCUCGUUUCUUAUCUCAUCUCGAGGAAGAUGAGGGAAACGUUGAUGGAUAUGGGACAUUCACAUCGGGCACUUUCCACGUCGUUCUUCGCGUCGAUUUUAAUGCCUACCGAACGUGAAGUAUCUCCAGCGUUCACCUUGAAACCGGUCCAACCAUGUUCCUUCUCGAGUCGAUCCAAUCGAAUCUUUAUAUCGAAUCUCUCUCUCUCUCUCUCUCUCUGUCUCUUUUUUUCUUUCUCUUUUCUUUCUUUGGUUAACCUCGCGAACGAGUUCCAUCGACGGCAGCGGAAUGAUUCGCGAAUAGUUUUGUUUAUUCGCCAAGUCAUCUUUGAAAUUGCAACGCAGUUACGUCCGUACGCGAGCUGCGAUCCAGAGAUCGAUACCGAACAGAAAGAGGAUUAUUAUUGCGGACGAUGGUUUCUUCGAGAAUUCUACGAGAGAAAGAAAGGGACUAAGUUUAUCUUACCGUGGAGGACGCGGUUCGAUAUUUUUCACGCGGCCGUAUGCCAACUCAUCGAUGACAAGUUUUCGUUUUUCUUUUAAAAGAAGAUAUUCCUUAAGAAGUAAAACCGGUAUUCUUCGCGAGCGUUACUUGAAUAAUUCAUUCGACAGAAACGAACGUAUUCCUACGCGCUGAGAAAUAAAUAUAUCGCUACUUCUCCUCCGCAGAGCCGUCAGGAAACUUUCGAAGUGUUAGUGCGAGUAAAAUUAGAAGAGGCAACUCUCGGCAUCCGAGAGAUCGAGUAAGAGAGAACGACGGAAUCCAACGAGUUUUAGUGCAUUUUCGAUAAUAUAUGGUAGAAGUAUAAGGGAAGGAAAGACAUGGUAGAACGAAGAAGAUCGAUUGGCCGUCGUUUGCGUUGACAAGACCGGAGGACUACGAUUAAAGUGUUAAAACGGGAGUAGAAGCUUGUAGUUGGUCGAUCCUCGAGAAACCCACAAAUCACAGAAGGUGGAGUCGGAGUCACAGUAGGUCCCGCGAAAUGAGUCAGACGUCCGAACGCGAAAUUUUUCUUUUCUUUCUUAGAGUCUCUUCUUGGCACGACGACGAACCGAGAGAAACGAUCAUCCUCGGUCCAGCGAAUGGCAGUGGGUGAGGAGCGAGCUAGCGAGAGAGCGAGUAAGUGAGUGAGUAGGAGAGUGAGAGAGAGAGAGAGAGAGAGAGAGAGAGAGAGAGACAUCGCUCGGCAACGAUAUAUAAUGCCGCUGGCAUGACGAGGCGAGAGCAAUUAGAUGUCGCCGGAUGCAGCUGCAGGCGAUUGCGUCAUCAGAGUUACUUUGCAACCUUGAUCUCCCGGAGGGCUCUCUCUCUCUCUCUCUCUUUCUGUUUCUCUCUUUCACUCUCUCUCUCUCUCUCUCUCUCUCUCUCUCUCUCUCUCUCUCUCUCUCUCUCUCUCUCUGUUAUUCACUCGUUUUCUGCCUUCUCUUCGCUUCAUCUUCCUCUUCCACUUCUUAUUUUCCUUCUCUUCUUUUCCAUUCUUCCAUACGUCUGAGAUAUUACAGACGUCUCUUUCCUCUUAUAAACGUAAGACCUUUCGACUAUUUCUCUGAUAUAACACCUUCGAACUCGAUCGUUUAGUUCGUUUUCGUAAUCGUCGAGGAAAAAAUAUUCAAUCGAGUUAAAACGACGGAAUAGAGAUCAACGAUGAAAAAAAAAGAAGAAGAAAAAAGAAAAAAGGAAAAUAGAGAGAAAAAAAAGCAAAGCGAUGAAAGGAUAGCCAGUUUUUAUCUGAGCUCUCCUUGUGAUCUCCUUCAAGGAUCGUGUAAAUUUUUAGAGCCUUGACUAACGUUAAUUACAUACUCCUAUCGUCGUACCACGUACCACCCAUCGAGUUGUCUUUUUUUUUGUUUUAAGAUCUCUUCUUAUAUCGUACCAUUAACGUUUAACUCGAUAUCUAGAAUUUCCUCUCGAGGAUACUUAAAACCAUUUGAAAAUCGAAUUUAUUUAUUUCUAGGUUGCUGAUUCUUGCCUGAUAUAUUUAAGAAAUGUUUAGUACGAACAUUUUCCAUGAAAGGAUUCGAAAAAAAAAGAAAAAGAAAAAGAAAAGUUCAAUUUUAACUUGGCUUAAAUUGAAGAAAAAAAAAAAAGGAUAAAAACGGGAAAAGAAAAAGAGAGAGAAACAGAGAAUCGGGGUCAAACGUGGACCAUCGAGGUCGAGUUGAUGCGGGCGUGCAGGUCCUCUCUUUCGGAGAAAAAACUUUCCCACGCAUGGAGAGAAUCUACAAGAAGAAGAGGGAAUGGGAGAGGGCAUCGACACGAGUAGCAGCGUUGCCACUUUACGAGUCGCUUCGCUCGUCGUAAAACGAUUCUUCCUCUUCCUUCCUUUUACCAAAUUAGGUAUCAUCCGUCGUUUUCUUCAAUCUCUUUUUUACCUUUUCAUCGGCGAACGCGAAGAAGUGCGAAAUUAAUCGUGAACUCGUUGAAAACUCGUUGAGUAGCAACUUUAUUUAAAUAACAAUUUGAAUGAUAAUGAUAUCGCGUUUAUGAGUCAUUUCUCGUAUAGCGAGUUGUCGCGCGUUGACCGGGCUAACGCGUUUAACUACGAACGAAGAGCGAUCGAUAGUAUUAAUCGGCCGAUAAUCGAAUCAUUCAAUUGACUCGACUUUCCUCCUGAACGCGAGAUCAUCGUCGAUUACGCUCGUACCUCCUCCACCUCCUCUUCUACUCUUGUCAUCGUCUCUGAUAGCUACCGUGGUUAGAUUCUACGAAGCGAGAACGAUAUAAUUUCCUCGUAGAUAAUCAACGUGCAUAUAGGGACUAUAUAAUGAUCUAUUAAAUAUUUCAUUAAUUAAAAUUAAAAUCUCUUCUAGCUAAAAGAAAGAAAAAGAUAAAGAGAAAGAGAGAAAGAGGAUGAAUCAGAAUGAAAGAGAAGUGUGAAGGAAGUCGUAUUUACUUUAGUACUUUUACUUUCUCAUGAUAAAACGUGCCCUAGAUGAAAUAAGAAGAAGAAGAAGAAGAAGAUGAUGAUGAUGAUGAUGAUGAUGAUGAAGAAGAAGAAAAAGAAGAAGAAUAUGAUGAUGAAGAGGAAGAGUCAGAGGAAAGAGUCUGUAGUAGCGUCUGGAUCAUGUCGUCCUGUCUUUCAUCUCAUCGUUCUUUCUCUCGACUUUUUCUUCAAUUCUUCUUCUUCUUCUUCUUCUUCUACUUCUACUUGUACUUCUUCUUCUUCUUUUUCUUCUUCUUCUACUUCUUAUUCUUGGGCCUCCUCCUGUGCAACGUCGUUGUAGUCGUCGUCGUGUCAUUCUUCACCGGCAGAGGCGUCACUGUCGCGGCCGGACUUGGAAGAAGUAGGGGAAAUCACAGGGCUGUGUGUCUUUGGCGUGCGUGCUUCUACCCCGAUGGCCACGGAGAGACUACACUUCAGUUCUUCGUGGGCCUUCGUGCGAGCAGGUUUUAGUUAACGAACAUUGGCUACUUGCCGGUCUUGUCGAUUCGAUACGAUACGGUAUUAAAAAAAUUGAAAUCGAUCUUUUCGAUCUUUGUGCGAAGGAGAAGCUUGACUCACGCUACAUCGUUCAAGAAUCGGAUCGUCCUGAAGAUAUCAAAGUGGGGAUAACGUGGGACUUAUCAAAGUCACCCUGAUGGAGGAUAUGGAAGAGGAAAAAUGAAGAGAGAAGAAUUAUCGAGAAUGCCAGGGCCCGAUGAAUAUGGUAAAGAUCCAGCAGCGAGGUAUAGAGUUCCUACGUAGUGUUCAGAAAGUAGGAACUUCAUACCGUGCUUUUGGACUUGCCGAAAGAUCUUCAGAAUCGUCUCUUUUUCAUCUUUGUUACACGCGUGAUAUGCGUGAUAAGAAGAAAGAAGGAAGGGGAGAGAAAGAUAUAUAUAUAUAUAUUUAUAUAUAUUUAUAUAUACUAUUAUAUAUACAUAAAUAUUAUAUAUAUAUCUAUAUCGAUAAGAAAGAUGAAGAGCUUUAGCUCCUUUUCUGUGUUCUCUUUUUCUCUCUCUUUUUCUUUCUUUCUUUCUGUCUCUCUCUCCGUCUUCACAUUUCUCUUUCGGAGGCAGCGAAAGAGUAUAAACGAGUGCCGAAGUAAGGCCCACGAAAUACGAACGAAACGAGCACGAUAGGAAGAAAUCUGGAUUGAGAGAAUGUACGUUCCAAAAGAAGAACAAAAUUUAUCGACGAUUACUGAAUCAUCAAACUGAAGAGUUACAUUUAAAUCUUCAUGGAUACGUCAAUUCUUCGAAGUUUCGAAAAGAAAAGAAAAGAUAUGGAAAGAAAAGAAUUUUUAUAAAGAUCCAGUCUAGCCUUUCUCAAAAAUGAUCUUACGCCAAUGGUGUUCAUUUGCAUUUACCUAACCUCAGCCUUGUCCCCUUUUUUCUAUCGUAACCGAGGGAAAAAGACGAUGGGAGCGAAAAGAAAGAGGAUGAAGAAGCAGAAGCAGAAGAAGAAGAAGAAGAAGAAGAAGAGAGGGAGGACGUAGGGGAGCCAGGACGACGAAAGAGGUGCGUCAAUUUUUAUUCUUUUUUCUUUGCCGCGACGACAAUGUCCUUUCCCCGUCCCUUCGCCACGAAGCAAAGCUCUUUCUGACCAAAACCCGUUUCCCGUUUAUGCGAACGAGCCGAGUAGGGUGAUCCCGACUGGAUGCGUGGAAGGAUAAAAGGAGUUCGCGAAAUUCCCAGCUCCAGCUCUUACCAGAAGAGUCCUUAUUUCGCUUUAUACAGAAAAAUUUAAAGAUCGAGAAGAGUCAAUGGCCUUUUCUUUUUCAAUAUCCUUACCUUUCAAAACGUUCUCUUUCAUUUUAUUUCAAGAUCUCAAAGGAGAAAGAUUCCAAUUCGAUGAAAAAAAGAAAGAAAAAAAGAAUAGAAAACAUAAUAAAUAAUAAUAAAGAAAGAAAUGUUUAUAGAAGGUAAAGAAGCAAUACGAUUGCAUUGACGUUAUCGAAGGAGUACGGGUUUGACUUCUCGCGAUCGAUCGUACGAGUUCGAUGCAGAAACGUGUGCUGCCUUUAGAGAUAAAAUUAUCGUAAAGGAUGAAAGAGACCAGUAAUUGUGUGCACGAACCUGGAAACGGUGAGACGAAUAUCUUUUGAAUUCGACCCUCCGUACCCUAUACGAAUUUGUCGACGGCUUUUUUACGGCCUUGGGACAUAUCGUUGGGAUUUCAAAUUUAUUAGAGAAUCGAAAGAGAGCUUAUCCAAAGAGUUUAAUGAGAAAAUCUUCGUUAUUUUUAUUGAAGUUCGAGAUCGCGGCCUCGGAAAAGUAUUAGAACUAAAAACGAUGAGUUCGAUGAUGAGCGACGAGAUACGAGCUCGUAAAAUAAUAUAACGUCACAAACGAUGAGACAAAGGAAAACGAGUCGAAACGGAACAACGAUCGCCUUGGACAGCCACGUGACUUAUAAAUCGCGCAAUUCCAUCCUUAUCUCCAAAGUGCCAAGUUAUGACGGUGUUGCGUGAGUUGCAUUUAAAUACGCAGUAGCAGUCUCUAAUGAGUCAUAGGAAAAUUGAGUAAUCCUCUUUCCAGAGUAUGUUUCGCAAAUUGUGUCGGGCGGAAACAAAGGAAAAGUCGAAUCGCCUACAGCUUUGUUUAGACAUGAUAUAGGAGUCGGACGAUUAUCCUAGGAAUUUGCGUGCGUCAGACACCAUUAUUCCGCUAACUUCCAAACUCGUUUCGACGAUUAUAUUUUUCUUUUCUUCUUUUUUUUUUUCUUUCUUUCUUCUUAUUUCUUUUUUCCUUCUUUUUUUUUUUCAUAUAUAGAACCUUGCCAUAUUCAUGAUAAUAAAUUUGCAAUAUUCCCUAACACGUAUGCAUCAAUUUCGAACAAUUUACAGUCAAGCGGGGAAGGUAGUCGAUCGCAUGGCCAGUCUGUUGUCGAUUAAAGCAUGCAUGGCUGUAUGCAAAUGGAUUGUAUUGUCUUGACCCGAAAUGUCGACGAUUAUUGUGCUUUCAUGAACGGCUGCGAAGCGACGCUUCGAAGCGAAACGAAGCGUUUACGAGAGAGUCUCUCCUCGUCGAUAAUCAUCGUCAUCGUUUGAUACGUGUAAUGGCGAAAUUAAUGUACCGAUUUGUGGGUAGACGGAAGCGUUAAAAUUGAGAACGCGUUCGUCGUCGACAAUGACGACGACGUAGACGAUGACGACGACAGAUGCAAGCUCGAUAGAAGAACGAGGAGAAACGGUAUUGUGCAAUACCACCGCUCACACGUAUGCCGAAUUAGUUGGGUGAAUGGAACAAGAGAGAACAGUGGGCUCGUUAAUUAAAACAAUACCCUCUGGUGUGACCGGUUGCCACGAGAGAAUUUGAAUUUGGCGCGUGCACAUGUCGAACCUUUGCCUCCUCUCUCCUCCCACCAAACCACCCCUUAUUCUUUCUCUUUCGCGCGCAAAUAGAAAGGUACUGUGCCGACAAUGGCACUCGACGAUCUCGAUGAGCUUUGAAGAAACGUUUGUGCAUGCUUUCAAUCGGGAUUUGUCCCUGUACUUGGAGAUUAGAGACAUGACAGCGGACCCGUAUAGUUUGUUCCCUCGUAAACGAUAAAAGCCAUUCGAACCGUACAUUUCGAUAGAAUUCUUUCGAAAUUUAUCUACCGUUUUUCUUUAUUUCUCUCUUUAGACAAAUUUCAAUUGAUCUCUUCCUCUAAGAAAACGAUCAUUUGCUUUUCAAAUUAGCAUUAUCAAUGUCAUUAAUUUCGCGUAUCCAUAUUUUUGAUUAGUUUCUUUCAUUUUUAUAACACUUUGAUAUUACGAUAUUUAUAUAUUUACUUCUUUCAUUAUCUAUAUAUUCAUAUAGUAGAUACAUAUAUUCACUAAUUUCUUAUUUCUUAUUUCACGUUAUGUCGGUAGAGUUCUUCUAAAAACAUAAAAAAAAGAAACAAAAAAAGAACAUUUGACGGACCUAUGAACAAUUCGUUUUUCUUCAAAAGAAAGGGCCAGGGUGGUCGAAGGGAUGGGCCAGGCCGUUCAACCGCGUUCGCGAGCCAGCACGUUUUCUAGAAAGACCUUAAAGAGCCGGCCCGUUCAGUAUGCAAGCUCGGUGUGGGUGCAUCCGGUGCACGAACGCGCAAGCUCGGAAACUCACGUUGCAUUAUGUAUCCGGCUGUCGAUACGAGGCAGCACGCGUCACUGUCGAUGAUAAGAAUAGAAUAAUAGAAUUUUCUAUGAGCCUCGGCGCGGCUAACAAGAAGGAGAGAAAGGAAAAGAAAAGAAAAAGAGAGAGAGAGAGAGAGAGAGAGAGAGAGGGAAAGAGUAAAAGGAAGAAAAUGGUGGGGACCCCUCUUCCGGUCUGUCCGAUCGACGAUUCGAGUCGAGCGUCUUCGACUUUCUUACGGGUUCGCGUAUAUCUCAGCUAAGGAUCUCUCGUCUCUCGACGACUAUUUCAUCCGUCCUUCUUUUUUCCUUCCUGGCACGGUCGGUGUCGUGAUUUAAGAUGGCGCCGCCUCGAGAUUUCUGCGAGAAGACGGAACGAAAGAAGAAGAAAACGAAAGAGAAACUACGUCCGUCGUUCGAUCUUUUACAACGAACUCUCGUCGUUGUCGUCAGUGGAGGAGAAUGAGGAGAAAGAGGUGGUGGUGGUGUUGGUGGUGGAGGAGGAGAGGGAGGAGGAGAAGGAGGAGGAGGAGGAGGAGGAGAAGACGAGAUACGUACAUCACGAAACGGGACAGAGAAAGAGGGAGACUUUUAUUCCUGGUGUAAACAAAAUCUCUUGACGUCCAUCGUUACACGUUCUUUUCUAUCUACGUCUUCGUCCCUUUUCUUUUCUCUUCUUUUUUCCCGCUCGCGAGAAAGUUCAUUAUAUUCUGCUUUACUCCAUCGUUUAUAAAUCAUAGAGAGAAGAAAGAGAAAAAGAAAGAAAGAGAGAGAGAGAGAGAGAGAGAGAGAGAGAACGCUUUGCGGUUUGGCGAGGAUGGUACGAGGAGAUAAUGGCACGCAUUUAUUACCGCGGAGACGAAAGAAACUUUGUUGCUAACCGAUUUCUUUCCGCUUUUUCGCUCUUCAAAAAAUCAUUGGAAUGUAAAUCGACUGAUUAGCAUCAUCAUUUUUCAAUGAUAUUAAAUAUGAAUGGGUAAGCAGAUAUACGUAUACUUCACACAAACACACAAACGCACGCAUACACACACGAAUAUAUACAUAUAUUUAUAUAUAUAUUUAUAUUUAUAUAUAUUUAUAUUUGUCUAUAUACAUAUAUAGCACUGAACGAUCGACGGAAAAGAAAUUCUUGAUCGGACGAUCGAACCAUUCGCCAUUGCAUCGAUUACGUCCGUCGUGACCUUUGAUUCUUUAAUCGAUGACUCGGCGCGCUGAGUGCGAGUCGGGACACCGUGCAACGAGCCAUCGACGUAAUACUUUUGCAGACACCUGUAGCGCUUCUGCUCGAGCAAAGCGUCGACUACCUGUUAUUAGCGGGCCACGAGCACGCGACAGACUGUACGACGAACGACAUUGUCUGGCUUCGUGGCAUAAUUAACGCUCGUGGUAUCAAUUAGUACCUUUUCGCCUAGUCGCUCGUCUCGUUUCUUCGUAACACGACUUGGGGAACUUGCGAUCGUUCAGAUAUAUCACUCGAUUAUAUUAUCCUACGAAUAGGACCGACGUAAAGAUAUUAUCAAUUAUUAUUCCCGAAUAGAUGAAACGAAUUUAAGAAAAAUUCGAAUGUUACGAAUAUGGCUGAUGUUGUUCGAGGAAUCUGCUUGUAUGUACGUUCCUUUAGCAAGGCACGAAGCACUGACCACCGAGUACAUACCAGCAGUCGGCAAAACACAGAAAGAGGAAAAGAGAGAGGAUCAGGGGGAAGAAAGAGAGAAAGAGUAUGUGAGAGAAAGAGAGGGAAAGAAAGAAAAAGAGAGAGAGAGAGAGAGAGAGAGAGAGAAUGGGAGACGUUGGAGGAAGCAGGAGGAAGGGAGGAGGAGGAGGAGGAGGUGGAGAAGAAAAGAGAGCUCGUUCGCGGUUGCAGAUGCUGGCGAUAACGCGUAUAAAAGGUGUAUCUACAUUUAGUUCGGACAGGCAGCACUUUAUUCGCUCGGCGAGCGCUAACAAGUGUUUUCCAUCGGUUUAAGCGGCGCUACGGCGCUUUUAGAGACCCGCCGUGGUGCAACCGGUCUGCCGCGAAGUCGCUGAACGCGAGCGUUGGGUGCGAGCAUUGGGUGCCGCCUUGGAAACGGUCCCACGGCCGGUUUUCGUACGUACGCGCGUAGGUUGCCAGAUAGAUGGGUGGGUACUGCCGCGUAAUUGGGAUGUCGGCCUCACUCAAAGAGAAUAAAAAAAAAAGAAAGAAAAAGAGGAGAACCCAUAGGUGCUUCUUUUUCUUUCAUCCUUGUUUUUUUAUUGUUUCUCUUUUGUUUUCUAUAAAUACUCGCACUUGUUUCAUCUGUAAAAUCGAUGAAGCAUUAAUCGUUAUUUUCCGUGGAAGAUAAAUACAAUCAAAUAUAAUACAAAUAUAUUUCAAAUAUCAAAAGCAAUACAGCUGAUGCGAAUCGUAUCAAAUAUCGAAACUCAAAAUUUGAUUUUGUAAUAGUCCAUUUUCAUUCUUCAAUGAAAAUCAAUUUAACUCGUUUCAUUAUAUUUUUAAGAUCGUAUUUGUACGAAAAGAAAAAUUAAAAAAAAAAAGAAGAAACAGGAACAAAGUCCUAAAAAAAACUUUUUCCAAGAAGCAAUAAAGCGAACGAUCGAUGGCAGAAAGUAUGGAAGGGAAAAGAAGAUAAAGGAAGACAGAAUGGAGAGAAGAGCGUAACGCUCGAUGUAACACAAGAAAUAAACACACACGUACACGCGCAUAUACACACACACACACAUACAUCUAUAUGUAUAAAUAUCUGCUCGAUGGAUCGAAAAGAGACCGAGAGAGAAGAUUCACGGUCGUGUCCGUGGCGUUUAGUUUCUUCUUGCGUCGGAACGCCGUAGAUGUUCGCGCGGGAUUCAUGGCACUCGUCAUAACGCAGAAGCUUGGGCUUGCUAUCUGAUUCGCAUUCGUUAUUGCCUUCACUGUCUUAUUCUUUUUCUUUUUCUCUUACUUCGUCUUCGGUGCUCGGAUGCAGGGAAAACGAAAUGCUGAACGAAAGAGGAAAGAAAGAGAAAGAGAAAGAGAAAGAGAAAGAGAUAGAGAAAGAAAAAGAAAAGAAGAUAAAAAGAAAGAAAAUGGAAGAACGUUUGAUACUUUACAAUCGGCGGUUCGCGUGCAGGAAGCGUUCGAACUCACGAAGUCGAAGUCGAAGUAAAGAACGAAAGAGAGUGAGAGAGAAAGAGAAAGAAAAAGAGAGGAACAGAGAGAGAGAGAGAGAGAGAGAGAGAGAAAAGAGGCUCCUAAGUUUGAUGGGGGAAUGCGACAUCGUCUUUGGUCUCGAGAGGAUCACGAUUCGGUGACGUGUGGCCGGUCCCUUGCAAGGAUAACGUCGUGUAUGACCGCAUAUAAACGUAAACUUUGCCGUCGUGGCUUACAGCCUGUUCGUGGCUUAACGCGAAUGGAAACGACGAAUAGUCGCGCCUCGAUAAAUGCCGGUCGCAGUAGUUCCACUCGUUCUGGAUCGGACGAAGCUUUUCCAAUCUCUAUCUUGUUAAUCCGACUAUGUGAAAUAUUAAUAAAAUGAAGAUAUUAAUAUUAGAAACAUAAGUAGACUGUUAAAUUGAUAUUUGUACUAGUUGUCAGAUUUUUUUUUUUAAUGAUCCUUUAAAGUUAUAUCGAAUUAUUGAUAAUUCCUUCGGAAAAUGGAACGUUUUAAAUUUCGACGAUAAAAGAUUUUCGAUCAAGAAGAAAGACGGUUGAAGUAAAAAUAAUUGAAAAUUUUCUUCUCCGACGGAUGAAUAAUAAAAGAAAUUAAUCUGUUCGUCCCAUCUACAGCAGACUGAUUACGUUUAUUUAUAAUAAGUUAGAUUUAAUAAUCCAUGUAUCGAGAUAUGUAUCUAGAUAUAUCAGAUGUAAAGUUUACGAAGCUCGCUAGAAAGGAAUAGGUAUAUAAGGAGUAGCAUACGAUGCAGUUUCAUGUUAAACCGUUUUAGUAGCUCUCAACGGUAGCUCUUUCUCGCUAAGUCCAGGCACAAGAUCUCUGUGGGAACGUAAAGAGAAAAGGAUCGACGAACAACCCUUCUCCUCGUAAACAACCCCGAUCGAGCACCGGAAUCUGACUCGUUCGAUCUAUACGAGCUCGAGCUUCGAUGGCGCUCGAGCGAAUCGAGAGCACGUUUGGCUCCUGCCCUCGAAUAUCCUGAAUCGUGUUAGGAACGAUCGUGACUCGGGCUGUAGCACGUACGACAAGACGAACUUUGACGCUCUGGACGUACGCUUCCUCUAUUAUCUUACAAUUUGAUCGCUUUAUUUUCUCUCAGAAAAUUUUCUUAACCAUUUCUCUAUCAUCUUAAGAAAGAAGAAUUGAUGAUAAAUAACCUUUGAGAGAGAGAGAGAGAGAGAGAGAGAGAGGGGGGGGGGAUGGACAGAUAAAUAAUAAAGAUAUAAAAAAAGAUAAGUAAGUCUGUUUGAUUGAAUCAAAAUUUACCAAGAGACCUAGACAGUAUUCUCUUUAAGAGUUUUUAACGAGAUACGAAUUAACAUAACUAUUUGGUGAUGGUAAUUUAACGGUAAUAAAGCAUUUAACGAUGCGACCUGUUUCGAAUCGAUUUAUUUCCCGAAUCGAUUCUGAGUUUCCUCCAUUACCAAUAGGCACGAGAAGUAUCCAUAAGUCUUUUUCUCUUUCUCUCUUUCUCUCUUUCUAUCUUUCUUCCCUGUAGAUAACGAGUAGCGACUUUAAGGUCUUUACGGUGUCAUACGGGUUUAAUGCCUCGCGCACGGUCGCGAGACGUGAGCACAGAUAGCGAAGGCGCUAUUUAAUUAACGAUAAUAGCUCGACCUAACAAGAACUUCGCGUUCCUUUUCUUUUCAUUGUCUCUUCGUGAUGCCGCUCGACGUACGCUCGUAGAAGAGCGCUCUCCUCUCCGCCGUUCUUACGUUUCUCCAUUCUCCUCUUCUCUCUUCUUCGAACAACAGUACCCGAAGCUUGGGUGCUCUUAAUCCCAAUCUUAUCUCGAUAUCCUGCUACCGUGACUAAGAGUCGCUGAUACUAAGAAUCACCUUGGUAAAAGGCGACUUUCGAAAAGUUUUAGAUAGCGUCAAGAUACUCGAAGAAUCUUUUUCCGUCGUAAUGAUUAUACCAUUGUCGAUAAAUAAGCACAAUUCCGAUCAAAUGUUUGCAAUCUCUAUUUUUUUUCUCUCUUUUUCUUUUCUUUUUUUUUGUAUAUAGGGAGCUGUAUACGAACGAAUAUAAAUGAGAUCGAGGAGUCUCGAUCAAGGAAUUCUAGGAUAACAAUGGCCUUGACGAAGUACCCGGAGAAAAGUCUCCAGAGAUUUCUACGUUUAAAAGAUAUCUACGUAGAAAUGUCUGGCUGCUGCGGCUGCGUCAUGCUCUUUGUCGCCUCGUACCGACGCCAACCGCAAUGAGACAUAAAUUGCAAUUAGCACUGGCCUAUCUCCCACCGCGACGUACCCUUUCGUGUACACAUACGUUCACUCCCUUCGUUCUCUUAACCGCACCUUAUCGAGAUGUGACCCGUUAUCUUCGUUCGUUUACCAACGUGUACGAUGAAGGACUUCACCCUUCGUCAAGACGAUCUAUAUCUGCGAGAUAUUUUAGCUAGUUUCUUAUUCUUCUUCUUCUUCUUCUUUGAACGAUCUCGAAUCGUUAAGAUCGAUAUCUCUUUCGAUCUUCGGAAACAUAUAUAUUUGAUCUUAAUUUGAUAAAUAAAUAUAUAUAUAUAUAUAAAUAUAUAUAAAACAUUCGUAGAAUUUAGAAGUAGUUAAUAAGCAAAAUGUACGAAUAGACAGCCGUAGUUUUAUAGAAAAAUAAAUCUGAAUUCUCCGAUCGACAAUCUUUCGAAAAAUAUAGACUGGUUCUAAUAUAUUCGUCAUAGAAAAUGUAAGAAGUAACGAGACAAGAUAAAAUAUUAUUACAUUAUUAUUGAAGGAACAAGCUAAUAUUCUUGGAAAAUAGCUUGAUAUAAUUUUUCUUUUCUCUCUUUUUUUUUUCUUUUUAUUUCCACAAAGGAUAAAAAUAAUCACGAAAAAAAUAGAAUCGACUUGCAAGCAGUAAUGUGGUAGUGUGUGUAACGUGCUGCAUAGUACUACCGCUACCCUCUCCCUUUAGAGUUACCUUUCGCUCGACGCGCGCGAGCCGACUCACCGAGCCGACUUGUACCGCCUUCGCUUUUCGCAACCGUUCUAAAUCGUGAUUUCCUAAAGGUGUAAAGAACCCGGACGACAAGAGUAAACCUCGCCGUAGCUCGAACGAACGCUUUAGGCUUCGUUUGCACCGAAAUGACGCAACACCAACUCGAUCUAAUCGUUCUUCAUCUCUCUUUCUCUUUUUCUCUUCCACUUGUUUUUCUUUUUUUAUUUUUAUUUCUAUCUCAUCCUUCUGGGACAAUGUUUUUAAUUUCCUUAGUAACAAUGAUGUCAGAUUUUUAAUUCAAAUCUAACAGGUGCGUCGCAUUUGAUUUGAUCGAUUGAAAAUGCUCAGUAAAGAAUUUACGACAUGUUGUAUAAGAUAUUGUAUAAUUAAAACUUUAUAAAUCACAGACAAUUUUUUCGAAAAUUUUUCCAAAAAAUUCCUGCAUAUUUCAUUAAUAGAUAGCUGUUUUUAAAAGGGAAGUAGAAAAGAAAAAAGACGAAACAAUUAUUAAUCGAUAAAAAUCGUUCUCCUUAGUACGUAUUUGUGAAUUAGGUAGCAUUACUCGGACAGUCUCAUUUGAAGGCGAGCAAAUCACCUCAUAAGUAAUUCACAUAAACAUUAUAGAUGAUAUAGAAGGCAUUAAGACACUUUGGCAUAUAUAAUAUGGUAAUACAUCGCAUAGAAAACGACUUGCUUCGCUCUCGUUCGUUGGAUGAUAUGCGCUUGAUCUCUUAAGAAAUCGCGAGUGGAAUGUAUAAUUCUCUUUGACCGGCUUGUUCAGUCCAAUGGACGGUAAGAUUAAAGAGCGUAGGUGCAAAACACAAGGAUAUUUGCCAAUGCAAAAGGGAUAAACACGCUCUCUCGCGAUCGGCUUAAUCCGUUCGACCUGAUUUCUCGAAGGAUCGUGGGCGUCUUGCGCACGCGCUCUCCUUGUUCUUACGUUACCAUUGACGCGAUUCUAAAUGAAUUACCCUCUAUCUUUUUUUAUUUCGUGUCCACCGGUUCGACGCGUCUGACUAGCAAAGGAAAGAGAAGAAAAGAAAUAGAAAAAAAAAGAAGAAAGGGGAAACAAAAAGGAACAUAGGUACUUGAAAAUCUUUCGAGCUACUUACUUUUUUAAAGUCUGUUUAGUAAUUCGGUGAAAGUGGUGGUGGGCGAAGUAGAGGAAGAAGAAGAAAAAGAAAAUAGAAUAAAACUAGACGGCGCCUUUUAAUUUUAUCGAUAAAUAAAGAACCGAGGUGGCGAUAUAAAUCCGAUCGACUAGUCGUUAUUAAAUUCGCGGCGAAUUGAAUUUCUCUGUUAGUCGUCGUCCUUCUCGACGACGAGAAGAUGCUCCUCGACUCUACGUUAAAGUUCCUUUUCGUACAACGUCGUCGUCGUUCCUUUCUUUUCUUUUCUUUCCUUUCUUUUUUUUUUUUUUUUUUUGCUCUUCCCUGAAAACUUUAACGCUUCCUCGAAUCUCACUAGCUCCUUCUCGACAAAAGUUUACGAUAAAAUAAUUAUACGCACGCGGAUCUUUUCCAACUAUGAACAAUAUUUCGUAGGAAGAAAAAUUUCUAUAAUUCAGUUAUAUUUCUUACAGUUAUUAUAUUCUGAUUAAUUCGCAAAUACUUUAUGUUUUCUUUUUAUUUUCUUUUUUGUUUGACUUUUUGUUUUUCUUUUUCUUUUUUCCUCUUU